AGCGAACGCUGGCGGCGUGCUUAACACAUGCAAGUCGAGUGCGUAGUUCCCUGUAGCAAUACAGGGAAUGGGCGCACGGCGCACGGGUCGCGUAACACGUGGGCAACCUACCCUCGGAGUGGGGAAUAACCCCGCGAAAGCGGGGCUAAUACCGCAUAACAUUCCGGGAACUUCGGUUUCCGGACUCAAAGUCUUCGGACGCUUGA
rnacentral:rRNA from 1 species